rnacentral:rRNA from 1 species
UAGGGAAUAUUGCGCAAUGAGCGAAAGCUUGACGCAGCAACGCCGCGUGGAGGAUGAAGGCCCUCGGGUCGUAAACUCCUGUCAGAUGGGAAGAAAAAGUGCGGGUUAAUAGCCCGUGCCCUUGACGGUACCAUCAGAGGAAGCCCCGGCUAACUCCGUGCCAGCAGCCGCGGUAAUACGGAGGGGGCAAGCGUUAUUCGGAUUUAUUGGGCGUAAAGGGCGUGUAGGCGGCUUGGUAAGUUGAAGGUGAAAUCCCACGGCUCAACCGUGGAACUGCCUUCGAUACUGCCUGGCUAGAGUCCAGGAGAGGCUAGUGGAAUUCCUAGUGUAGCGGUGAAAUGCGUAGAUAUUAGGAGGAACACCAGUGGCGAAGGCGACUAGCUGGACUGGAACUGACGCUGAAGCGCGAAAGCAUGGGGAGCAAACAGGAUUAGAUACCCCCGUAGUCC